rnacentral:piRNA from 1 species
UACUUUCUGUAUGUUAGGAUGGUUUGGU